UACGAAGGGGGCUAGCGUUGUUCGGAUUUACUGGGCGUAAAGCGCACGUAGGCGGAUCGUUAAGUCAGGGGUGAAAUCCUGGAGCUCAACUCCAGAACUGCCUUUGAUACUGGCGAUUUUGAGUCCGGAAGAGGUGAGUGGAACUCCUAGUGUAGAGGUGGAAUUCGUAGAUAUUAGGAAGAACACCAGUGGCGAAGGCGGCUCACUGGUCCGGUACUGACGCUGAGGUGCGAAAGCGUGGGGAGCAAACAGG
rnacentral:rRNA from 1 species